CAGUCGCCGCGGUAAUGCGUAGGUGGCAAGCGUUGUCCGGAAUUAUUGGGCGUAAAGGGCUCGCAGGCGGUUUCUUAAGUCUGAUGUGAAAGCCCCCGGCUCAACCGGGGAGGGUCAUUGGAAACUGGGAAACUUGAGUGCAGAAGAGGAGAGUGGAAUUCCACGUGUAGCGGUGAAAUGCGUAGAGAUGUGGAGGAACACCAGUGGCGAAGGCGACUCUCUGGUCUGUAACUGACGCUGAGGAGCGAAAGCGUGGGGAGCGAACAGGAUUAGAUACCCCCGUAGUCCCUGUCUCUUAUAU
rnacentral:rRNA from 1 species